CCCUAUUCAAAUUACCCGACCCAGACCCACUUUUUUCAAAAGCCUCUCCCAAGACCAAUACCAGUCAAGACCCGAUCUAGCCCAACCCUUUAAUCCCUCUGCUCUUUGUGUAUAACAAACAACAGUUGCUAAAUAACAACGAUAAUAUCGAACAACACCAGCGAACAACAAUAUCACUGAACAACAACAAGCAACACCAACCCAGUAAUGUCCUAGCCCCAAAUCCCUUUUCCUACAUCUAAUUACCCUUCUCUCUCGAAGUAGAAUGUGAUUCUCACGAGGACAAAAUCAAGAAAGUUCUAGAACACGCAGGUGGCCCUUCAAUCCAUGAAUUAAGGAAGGGGUGGUACGACUUCGUACCAAAUCCACCUCGCAAGCUUAUCCAUAAUUAUAAAUUUGGAUUUUGCCUUUAAAAAAUUUCCAAAACACCCUUGAAUUUCCUAUAUCUCACAUCAUUUGAAAGCUGAAAAUCGACCCUCAGCCCCUUCCAUAAAUACUCUAUUUUUGAAGCUGUAAAAGGAGGAAUUCUUGAAAGGUUGAUCUAAUCAUUCAAGCAAGAAAUGAAGGAUAAAAACCAUUCAAGCAAGAAGAGAAGGAUUUCAAAUUGAAGUAAGAUUUCCUUUGUUGAGUUUUAAAGUUUCUAGGUUAGAAUUCUUGUAAGACUCGAUUAAGCAAUGGAUUUCGGCUAAGAAAUGAGUUGAUUUUUCGGUGGUGGGAUGAAUGCUUCGACGAAGAAACGAAGACCCCAUUUGCUGCUCCAAAAAAAGUCCUAUUUGGAAUCAUCCCUUUGCAUAUCUAACGGUCUAAGGAGGCUCAUAUAGCGUCGAGUCAAGCCUAAAAACCCAAAAUGGGUUCAAAAUUGAAGAAAAUGUGUAGCUAAAAAGCUACAUAACGAAGUUAGCAUACGAGAUCGAAUACGAAGGCGAGAAAAUAAAAAUGGGCCAAGAAGUCUAUGAGAAUUGAGGAUUAAAGUCGGACAAGUCCAAAUGAGUUCAAAACCUGUUUUUCUCAACUCUUCUUCAUUUAUUUAUUUAUUUGUAAUUCAAAUUUGAUAUGUGUAUUAAACUCUGAAAUUUGGUUAGUCUAAAAUACAUCCCCUUCGAGUUAUCA